UACCCAUAAACAAAUCAUUUUCAAACAAAUAAACAACUAAAGAUGGAAGCUCCAUCAUCAUAUCCUUUCCAAACACAACAGAUCAUUUAGUAAAAUCGAUGGAAGCUUCAAACCAUAUUCAUGUCCAGUUCAUCGCCCAUAUAAUAAUGAAUCUAAUAAUUUUAAAGAUUAAUUACUAUUUUAAAAUUUAAAAACUAAAAUCAUUAUAUAAUGAAUUCAUUAAAUCCACUACCCAUAAACAAAUCAUUUUCAAACAAAUAAACAAUGAAAAAUAGAAACUACAUCACCAUAUCAUUUCCAAACACAACAGAUCAUCUAGUAAAAUCGAUGGAAGCUUCUAACCAAAUCCAUGUCCAGUUCAUCGCCGAUCGAGCCUCCACGGCACUGCCCAGAUCCAUGGUAAUAGGAAGGAGACGAGAGUUAGGUGGAUCAUUGAAUAUCUAAAGACUAGGUGGUGGGACAAUAAAUCUAGGCGCGACACAACAGAUCUAAGAACUGUGUGACUGCAGAUCAAAGUGAAAAAUAUGAGAUGCGAUAAUCAGUGAUGACUUGUAUUUUUCAUGGGUUGCUACGACGCUUAACCGCAACUGAAGAAGAUGAAGAGUUAGAGCUCUUAUGACGAUGGUGUCGCUCUAGAACCCAACCCAUCUGUUGAUGUUUACUGUUAUUUCCAAAUAAGGAGGACCUAUUCAAUAGGAAUAGACCUACUAUUUAGGAGGGAUCGGUUAGCAUGAAGUUAAUUUUUGGGUAAGUUGGUUAAUUGACCAAUAGAAUGCUGACACAUAUAGAGUCUCGCCUGCGUGUCAACACUCUAUUGGUCAAUUGACCAACUUACUCAAAAAUGAACUCCAUGUUAACCACUUCCAUUUAGGAGUGCCUUUUAUUUAGGAGUUUGUUGUGGCUGUUAUUGAAGCCACGUUUUUUUAGCUCAAUUUAUUGCUUUAUUAGCAUGUUCUUAGUGGUAGUAGUGGUUGCUAUUUUAUUGGUUUUAUUGUUGAUGUAUUACCUAUUUAUAGGCCUUCAGUUCUUUCAAUAAGAUGUGUCUUUCAUUGAUCUGACUUUACUCCUCCAAGUUUAAAAUACAUAGUCCUGUUUGUAAUAGUGGUAUCAAAGCCAGGUUGCAUAAGAGAGUCAUUUUUGAGAGUUAAUUUUUUUUUGAUAUAGCAGUAGCUAUUUCUUUUCAGCUUGUUUUAUUUCUUGCAGCAGCAGGAAAUUAAUGAUGGCUUCAGACAACUUUGUUCAACCGGCUAUUCCCCGCUUUGAUGGUCACUAUGAUCAUUGGAGCAUGUUAAUGGAGAACUUUCUAAGAUCCAAGGAGUACUGGCGAGUCGUCUCAGAUGGAAUUACAGAACCAGGAGCCGAUGCCAUAAUGACAGAUGCGCAGAAAGCAGAGAUAGAAGCAAAGCAGUUGAAAGAUUUUAGAGCCAAGAAUUACUUGUUCCAAGCAAUUGAUCGCUCAAUCUUGGAAACGAUUCUUUGCAAAGACACCUCCAAGCAAAUAUGGGAUUCCAUGAUGAAGAAAUACCAAGGUUCAACGAAGAUCAAGAGACAGCAGCUUCAAGCAUUUCGUACAGAGUUCGAAAUGCUUCGAAUGAAGUCGGGAGAAACAGUUACAGAUUUUUUCUCUCGAACAAUGGCAAUCAUGAACAAGUUGCGGAUCCAUGGCGACAAGACGGAGGAUGUAACUGUUAUUGAGAAAAUUCUUUGGUCAAUGACACCGAAAUUUAAUUAUGUUGUUUGUUCUAUUGAGGAAUCGAAAGACCUUGAUAAAUUCUCAAUAGAUGAGUUGCAAGGAUCAAUGUUGGUUCACGAGCAGAAAAUUAUUCAUGAAGACAAGGAAGAGCAAGCUCUAAAGGCUUCAACAAACAGUGAUUCUUGGACAACAUAUAGAUCAGCAGAUCGAGGUAGAGGCUGAUGAAGAAGUGUCCGAGGAGGUAGAAAUGGAGGAAGAAGAGGCGGACGAGGAAAUUUUAGAGCUGAUGACUAUCAAUCAAAUUUUCAAAACAGAGGUAGAGACCGAAAUCAACACUUUGACAAAUCCAAGGUAGAAUGCUACAGAUGUCAUAACUUCGGGCAUUAUCGUUCUGAAUGUUAUACAAAAUUACCCAACAAUAAAGAAAAAUGAGAGAAAUCAAAUUUUGCAGAACAGAAGGAAGUUGAAACUUUGUUGAUGGCUGCUCAAGUUGAUGAACCACCUCAAGCAGAAGUGUGGUAUGUGGACACAGGCUGUAGCAACCACAUGUGUGGAAGUAAGUCCUUUUUUGUUCUCUAAAUGAAAGCUUUCGCUCUAUAGUGAGUUUUGGUGAUCGUUCUACUGUUAAUGUGAUGGGAAAGGGAGAUGUUAAUAUUAGAACCAAGAAUGAUUUUAUAGAAACAAUCUCCAAUGUUUUCUAUGUUCCCGACUUGAAAAGUAAUUUAUUAAGUGUUAGUCAAUUGCAAGAAAUAGGUUAUAUAAUAACGAUUAAAAAGGGUGCUUGCGAGAUAUAUGAUCCUUCUAGAGGUGCUAUUGCUAUUGUCCAGAUGGCUUCCAAUAGGUUGUUUCCAUUAACAAUUGAAAGUGUCCAAUCCUGCUUAGCGGCUGAAGUGAAAGAUCCUUCCUGGCUUUGGCAUUAUCUCUAUGGUCACUUAAAUUUUGGUGGAUUAAAAACUCUCUAACAUAAGCAAAUGGUGACAGGUCUUCCUCAAAUUAUCAUUCCUUCUCAAGUUUGUGAAGAAUGUGUUGUUGGCAAACAACAUCGUUCUCAAUUUCCAAAUGGAAAGUCAUGGAGAGCAAAGAAAGUCUUAGAACUGGUUCAUUCAGACAUUUGUGGACCGGUUAAUCCAAUUUCAAAUGGGGGUAAAAGAUAUUUCCUUAUUUUCAUUGAUGAUUAUAGUCGAAAAACAUGGGUUUCUUUUUUACAGGAAAAAUCUGAGGCCUUUGAUGCAUUUAAAAGUUUUAAGGCACGUGUUGAAAAAGAAACAGGGAGAUUCAUCAAAACACUCCGCAUUGAUCGUGGUGGAGAAUAUUAUUCAAAAGCAUUUGAACAAUUCUGUGAUGUUCAAGGCAUACGAAGAGAACUAACAACGGCUUAUUCACCACAACAAAAUGGUGUAUCGGAGAGGAAAAAUAGAACCAUCCUCAACAUGGUAAGGAGCUUUCUUGCAAGGGGCAAAAUUCCUAAAAAUUUUUGGCCGGUGGCAGUGAAUUGGAGUGUUUAUGUAUUAAAUAGAAGCCCCACGUUCUUCGUUCAAAAUAUGACACCAGAAGAGCCCUGGAGUGGACGAAAACCAGCAAUGGACCAUUUCAAAUUGUUUGGUUGCAUCGCUUAUGCUCAUGUCCCAGACGAGAAAAGAAGGAAGUUAGAUGAUAAGGGUGAAAAAUGUGUAUUUCUUGGCGUAAGUGAUGCAUCCAAAGCAUAUAAAUUGUUCAAUCCACUCACAAAGAAAAUUGUGACCAGCAGAGAUGUUAUUUUUGAUGAGGAGAGGAUCUGGGAUUGGAGUGGACAGCAGCCUACUAGUGGACAACAGUCUAUUGUUGUCAUUUUAGACAAUGACGAUGUCAUUCUGGACAAUGAAACACAACAACAACAAAUCUCUGCUGCUCCUGUACCUGAAAGAGCAUUGAAUGAUGCUCCAACAACCAUUGAAGCUUCUACAACAACAGCUGAACGCACAGAUAUGGCAGCAGAAUCACAGCAGCGUCGUGUUCGAAAGAGGCUUGCAUGGAUGAAAGAUUUUGAGAUAACUGGUAUUGAAUCUGAUGACUAUGAUACAAUUGUUCAUUAUGCUUUGUUAUCAGAUUGUGAUCCCAUUACAUUUCAAGAAGCCGUCAAAGAUCCGAAGUGGCAAAAGGCUAUGAAUGAGGAGAUUCAGUCUAUAGAGAAAAAUAAUAGUUGGGAGUUGGUCGAACUUCCUAAAGGGCAAAAAUCCAUUGGUGUUAAAUGGGUUUAUAAAACGAAGCUGAACAAGGAUGGUGAAGUUGACAAGUACAAAGCUCGGCUCGUAGCAAAGGGGUACAAGCAAGAAUUUGGUGUAGAUUACAAUGAGGUGUUUGCUCUAGUUGCAAAACUUGACACUAUUCGAUUGGUAUUAUCCAUGACUGCCCAAAACUCAUGGUCUAUCCAUCAAUUAGAUGUGAAGUCAGCAUUUUUGCAUGGGGAGUUGGAAGAAGAAGUCUAUGUGGAACAACCCCUUGGAUAUAUGAGGCAAGGAUGCGAAAAUCAGGUAUACAGGUUAAAGAAAACAUUAUACUGAUUGAAAUAAGCACCAAGAGCAUGGUAUAGUCGUAUAAAUGCUUACUUUAUUAAGGAAGGUUUCAUUAAAUGCCCAUAUGAACACACUCUUUACACUAAAUAUGGUGUCAAUAAAAGAAUUUUAAUAGUGUGUUUAUAUGUUGAUGACCUCAUUUAUACUAGUAAUGAUAGAACUAUGCUGACUGAUUUUAAAAGUUCCAUGACGAAAGAAUUUGAUAUGACUGAUUUGGGAUUAAUGCAUUAUUUUCUUGGCAUUGAGGUAGUGCAAUCAUCUACUGGUAUUUUCAUCUCACAAAAGAAGUAUGCUUUAGAAAUUUUGGACAGGUUUAUGAUGAAAGAGUGUAAUUCUGUCACCACUCCAACUGAAGUUGGCCUCAAACUCUCAAAGGCUGGAGCAGGAAAAAGGGUGGAUACGACUUUGUUCAAGCAAAUAGUUGGAAGUCUCAUGUAUUUAACUUCUACAAGGCCAGACAUCAUGCAUGUUGUAAAUUUAAUAAGCAGGUACAUGGAGAAUCCAACUGAAGUUCAUCUCUUGGCUGCAAAAAUAAUCUUUCGUUACUUGAAAGGGACAACAGAUUUUGGAAUUUUGUACAAACAUGGUGAAAAGUCUAGUCUGCUUGGGUAUUCAGAUAGUGAUUAUGUUGGAGAUCUUGAUGAUUGUAAGAGUACUUCGGGAGCUGUUUUUAUGCUAAAUUCGGGAGCUGUCAGCUGGUCAUCAAAAAAGCAGCAGAUAGUAACAUUGUCAACUACUGAGGCUGAGUUUAUUGUUGCAGCAUCGAGCUCUUGUCAAGCUAUUUGGUUACGAAGGUUAUUGGAAACUUUAAGCAAUCAACAACAAAACCCAACGCUGAUUUAUUGUGAUAAUACGUCAGCAAUAAAGCUUUCAAAAAAUCCAAUUCUCCAUGGGAGAAGCAAAUAUAUUGAUGUGAGGUAUCACUUCUUGCGUGACUUAUGUAAGGAUAGAGUUAUUAAUUUGGUGUUUUACAAAAGUGAAGAACAAGUUGCUGAUAUUUUAACCAAGCCUCUUAAGCCCAUUGCGUUUCUAAAGCUUCGGAGCAUGCUUGGACUUUGUUCUUCAAGGGAUGUUGUUCCAGAAAGGGCAAUGCAAAAUGUUGCAUUAUGUUAUGAUCAUAUUUUUAAACUGGUUUAUGAAUAAAUCAGUUUAAGGGAGGGUGUUGAUGUUUACUGUUAUUUCCAAAUAAGGAGGACCUAUUCAAUAGGAAUAGACCUACUAUUUAGG
rnacentral:lncRNA from 1 species